CAGAGAUGGCUUUGCUAAACCAAGCCUGUGGUAAUGAGACAGCUCUGCAGGGAUGAGAAGAACACACACAGAGCAAGUUUGAAGACGUCUUCUGGCCUCCCAAAGGCUUUCAGUCGGUUUCUUCUAAGCAAGAAGGCAAAUACUGAAGAGCUUCUGAUGUUUUGCAAAUUCACCAGGUGGAGUAUCUGUCUGUCUGUCUGUUUUUGGGAUAUGCCAAAAGAUGACAACGACGGUGGAGCAGAAGAGCAUUUGACUUUCACCAGCGAGCCCCUCUGUUUGACAUCAUGUUUUCUUAAUGAGAGCCAGCUGCCCCCAACAUCAGCAUUCUCCUUCAUACCAGCAUGAAAAAACAUGAAAGUUAGAACUUUAAACAUGUCCAGAUUCCUUUGUACGCCACGGGCAGUAUUAGCCUGCUCGUCAGCAUUACAAUCAAUGGUGCCUGUGAUCAUCAAGGGUGGAAAUGAGCGCUUAGCCUUGGAGCACACGCACAGGAUGAAAUACUGCACAUUCAUUAUGUAAACAAUCUGGUUUGCUGAGCCAUGUGCAAGUUUUUUCCCCGGUGUACUGACACCGACAUAUUCAUAGACAAUAAAAAUGAAAUAAAAUAACUAAAUAAAUAAAUUUCCAGGUGCUAAUUUAUAUGCUGUUCUCAGAGGUUUAAAAGCUUUUGCUUCUAUGACCAGUCACUGCAGAUAAUUUGUUCUAUUAAAAUCUGUUUCAU